rnacentral:lncRNA from 1 species
UUGAAAUGGCCAUCUUCGGCAGACUGGCAUACAUAAUUUUGACGACAAUCCUGAAGAUGUAGCCGUUCAUGGAUUUGUGAAAUAAUUCCUAUAUUACUGCUUCUUUGGAAUACUAUAUCAUGUACAACUACCUCAGCUUGUUUUAAAGGGGCAUUUAUUGUGCUUCCUCUAAGGCGUUCUCUCGUCACUGCUGCUAUAUACUAAGGCGUGAUUGAAGCGGGCUUAUAAAAUUCCGAUUUUGAACACAUACUCAAAUAUCACAUCAGUGACUAUUACUAUCGUACAGCGAUUUUUAUGUAGAAAAUAUACUAUGUAAACUCAUUAUAUCGAUAGGUACGGGUAUAUAGGUGAAACUACCGUAUCGGUACAUAGAAAUAAAAAUAGUAGAAGUAGCGCAUUGUAAAACUGCGUCAGAUCGUGAGGCCUUUUUUUAAAAGCGAGGAAAAGUGAUGCUUGUACAAGUAAACACCGCCAGGAUAUGUUGAUUGAUUUUCUAAAUGUAGGCCAGACUAUAUAAAGACGACUAUGGACGUGAAUGGCCUCAACCCGCUUAGCUUACCUGAACGGGCAAGUAAACUUGGUCACUUAUCUCUUUUAACAUUAGCUCCAAUUGAUUGAAACUAUUGAGGUAGAACUUUAGCAGAUCGUAAGGCCUGAUGUGUCGCUUUGGGUCGGCUGCCGCCUUUUUUAAGGAUACACCGUCCAAAAGAUACCAGCGACAUUACGGUGAGGCCAGUUGACUAACUAAGCUACUCUAAAAUUCUUUACUGGAUCUUAUAAUAUCUAAGCAUGUACGUACUAUAAUUUCUACUACAGAUCAAACUGCUGAUGACUAUAUUAAUCAAUUUGGAUCUAGUAAUUAUGAGAGAGAGCUCUCAGUUUAUGUAUGCUGCAGGUACCAGGUAGGCGGUACGUGUCCCGUACAACUACGGUCGAUCUUGACGAAGAAAGUCGCAUGAGAGUCAGCCAGCCUAAUGGUAACACGACCCUAUUCAAUGGUUACACCGCUAAGCUGGUAUCAGGGAAAAUAUAGAAACACUUGAGCGGUGUGUAGACUGAGGGUCAACAAGAAGUAAAACUAUAGAUGGUAAAGUUAAGGUAAAUGCAAAAUAAUUAAAAUUAUAAUGUUCGCUUCAAUGUAUCAGAACGACAGAAAUGUCCAUAGACGUUCACAAAUGCUUUUUUGUCUUCCGUGCACUAAUCCACCUACUCAAUAUUUCAGCACGUAGCAUAUGAGAACGAUCCCGAAACUACAGCUACGCUAAAUGAGGGUCUAUAAGGAAACGGUAUUCAACAUCGAUCGGAGCAAGUGCGAUAUUUCUUCGAGUUUCGUUUCGUUUCGUUCGAAAUUGCACUAAAUGCAUAUUUCGUGGCCACUCGUAUAAAAAUCGUUCCUGACCAAUUAGAAGUUGCGACUGAAGAACGAUGAGGUAGGUUAGGUGUCGCAUCUUCAAAACCAUGGCACCUGUCCUGCAGGGCAUCAAAACGUGCUUGCUGCUACUGACAGAUCGCUACGGAGCAUCUAUCAAGCUCGAAGCAUAUGUUUGUCACGCGUUUCCUAAUUUCAAUCGACCAGAAUAUAAGUUUUAAUUUAAUAUACAAUUAGAAUCUGAGCAAAGGUCGAGCUUAACUUGAAAGUACUGCGUUAUAUUGCUCACCGCUAAAGGGCUGAGCAGAUCGGCCUUUGAGUCAGCAAACUUGCUUUGCGCAUUCAUCAAACCCAUAAGCUUCAAGGACGAUGAGGGCACAUGUUCUACCGUUGGUUUUGGGCCAAAAACCUUCAGAUUCGCAGACAGGAGCCAAAAAAUUGGUGUAUUUCUGACAGAGGUGUAAAAAAAAGUUCGUGAAAUGUACACGUCAGUUGAAUAAAGAUCCUUUUUGUUCGGUCGUAUAUCUAUUAUGUUUUGAUGGCCCAAGCUGCAAAAAAACCUGAAGUCACCACAGUGUACUAUGUAAUUAGUAUAAAUAGCUAAGUUAUGAUUAUUAGUUUUCAGAAAAAAAUUGAAAACGUUAAGCGUGUGUACGACCACUGCACAUCGUUGUUGCAGUAGUGUCGAUAAAUGAGUUAUUUUAUACCAAAACAGAAAAUGUGGCUUCCUUUGUUAUUAAAUUUCGUUUUAUAGAAGAGCAGUCAUGAUAUUCUUGCUUGACACCCGCAAAGUAUUCAAAAUCAGAUUUGACACCCCAAAAUCGGAUAUGGUGACGAGAA